rnacentral:rRNA from 1 species
GUGGAUUAGAUACCCCGGUAGUCCACACUGUAAACGAUGAUCACUCGUUGUUUGCGAUAUACCGCAAGUGACCAAGAGAAAUCGAUAAGUGAUCCACCUGGGGAGUACGUUCGCAAGAAUGAAACUCAAAGGAAUUGACGGGGGCCCGCACAAGCGGAGGAACAUGUGGUUUAAUUCGAUGAUACGCGAGGAACCUUACCUGGGUUUAAAUGGGGAGUGACAGGCUUGGAAACAGGCCCUUCUUCGGACACUCUUCAAGGUGCUGCACGGCCGUCGACAACU